rnacentral:rRNA from 1 species
UACGGGGGGGGUAAGCGUUGUUCGGAAUUACUGGGCGUAAAGGGCUCGUAGGCGGCCAACUAAGUCAGACGUGAAAUCCCCUCAGCUUAAACUGGGGAACUGCGUCUGAAUACUGGAUGGCUUGGAUUUGGGGAGAGGGAUGCGGAAUUCCAGGUGUAGCGGUGAAAUGCGUAGAUAUCGGGAGGAACAUCAGUGGCGAAGGCGGCCCUCUGGUCCAGUACUGACACUCAAGUGCGAAAAGCGUGGGGGA